rnacentral:rRNA from 1 species
ACGACCAUAGGGUGUGGAAAACAGGGCUUCCCGUCCGCUCAGCCGUACUUAAGCCACACGCCGGGAGGUUAGUAGUUGGGUGGGUGACCACCAGCGAAUCCCUCCUGUUGUAUGUU